rnacentral:rRNA from 1 species
AGUGAACGCUGGCGGUAGGCCUAACACAUGCAAGUCGAACGGCAGCACAGUAAGAGCUUGCUCUUACGGGUGGCGAGUGGCGGACGGGUGAGGAAUACAUCGGAAUCUACUUUUUCGUGGGUGAUAACGUAGGGAAACUUACGCUAAUACCGCAUACGACCUACGGGUUAAAGCAGGGGAUCUUCUGACCUUGCGCGAUUGAAUGAGCCGAUGUCGGAUUAGCUAGUUGGCGGGGUAAAGGCCCACCAAGGCGACGAUCCGUAGCUGGUCUGAGAGGAUGAUCAGCCACACUGGAACUGAGACACAGUCCAGGAUCCUAAGGGAGGCAGCAGUGGGGAAUAUUGGACAAUGGGCGCAAGCCUGAUCCAACCAUACCGCGUGGGUGAAGAAGGCCUUCGGGUUGUAAAGCCCUUUUGUUGGGAAAGAAAAGCAGCAGGUUAAUACCCCGCUGUUCUGACGGUACCCAAAGAAUAAGCACCGGCUAACUUCGUG